rnacentral:rRNA from 1 species
AUUGAACGCUGGCGGCAGGCUUAACACAUGCAAGUCGGACGGUAACAGGGAGGAAGCUUGCUUUCUUUGCUGACGAGUGGCGGACGGGUGAGUAAUGCUUGGGAAUCUGUUUUAUGGAGGGGGAUAACUACGGGAAACUGUAGCUAAUACCGCGUAAUAUCGAGAGAUUAAAGUGUGGGACCGUAAGGCCACAUGCCAUAGAGUGAGCCCAAGUGGGAUUAGGUAGUUGGUGGGGUAAAGGCCUACCAAGCCGUCGAUCUCUAGCUGGUCUGAGAGGAUGACCAGCCACACUGGGACUGAGACACGGCCCAGACUCCUACGGGAGGCAGCAGUGGGGAAUAUUGCACAAUGGGCGCAAGCCUGAUGCAGCCAUGCCGCGUGAAUGAAGAAGGCCUUCGGGUUGUAAAGUUCUUUCGGUGGUGAGGAAGGUUGUAAUGUUAAUAGCAUUAUAAUUUGACGUUAGCCACAGGAGAAGCACCGGCUAACUCCGUGCCAGCAGCCGCGGUAAUACGGAGGGUGCGAGCGUUAAUCGGAAUAACUGGGCGUAAAGGGCACGCAGGCGGAUACUUAAGUGAGGUGUGAAAGCCCUGGGCUUAACCUAGGAAUUGCAUUUCAUACUGGGUAUCUAGAGUAUUUUAGGGAGGGGUAGAAUUCCACGUGUAGCGGUGAAAUGCGUAGAGAUGUGGAGGAAUACCGAAGGCGAAGGCAGCCCCUUGGGGGAAUACUGACGCUCAUGUGCGAAAGCGUGGGGAGCAAACAGG